rnacentral:rRNA from 1 species
UUAAGUGAAUAAGGGCGCACGGUGGAUGCCUUGGCACUAGGAGCCGAUGAAGGACGGGACUAACACCGAUAUGCUUUGGGGAGCUGUACGUAAGCUAUGAUCCAGAGAUUUCCGAAUGGGGGAACCCAGCAUCUUUAAUAGGAUGUUACGAUUGUGUGAAUACAUAGCACAUUCGAGGUAGACGCAGAGAACUGAAACAUCUAAGUACCUGCAGGAAGAGAAAGAAAAUUCGAUUCCCUGAGUAGCGGCGAGCGAAACGGGAAAAGCCCAAACCAGCAAGCUUGCUUGUUGGGGUUGUAGGACUCCAAUAUGGUAGUUCUUUCAGAUAGUCGAAUGACUUGGAAAAGUCAGUCAAAGAGGGUAAAAACCCCGUAGACGAAAUGUGGAAGACACCUAGGAGGAUCCUGAGUACGGCGGAACACGAGAAAUUCCGUCGGAAUCCGGGAGGACCAUCUCCCAAGGCUAAAUACUCCCUAGUGACCGAUAGUGAACCAGUACCGUGAGGGAAAGGUGAAAAGCACCCCGGAAGGGGAGUGAAAUAGAACCUGAAACCGUGUGCCUACAACAAGUCAAAGCCCGUUAAUGGGUGAUGGCGUGCCUUUUGUAGAAUGAACCGGCGAGUUACGAUUGCAUGCGAGGUUAAGUUGAAGAGACGGAGCCGCAGCGAAAGCGAGUCUGAAUAGGGCGUUUGAGUAUGUAGUCGUAGACCCGAAACCAUGUGAUCUACCCAUGUCCAGGUUGAAGGUGCGGUAAAACGCACUGGAGGACCGAACCCACGUACGUUGAAAAGUGCGGGGAUGAGGUGUGGGUAGCGGAGAAAUUCCAAACGAACUUGGAGAUAGCUGGUUCUCUCCGAAAUAGCUUUAGGGCUAGCCUCGGAAUUGAGAAUGAUGGAGGUAGAGCACUGUUUGGACUAGGGGCCCAUCUCGGGUUACCGAAUUCAGAUAAACUCCGAAUGCCAUUCAUUCAUAUCCGGGAGUCAGACUGUGAGUGAUAAGAUCCAUAGUCGAAAGGGAAACAGCCCAGACCACCAGCUAAGGUCCCAAAAUAUAUGUUAAGUGGAAAAGGAUGUGGGGUUGCACAGACAACUAGGAUGUUGGCUUAGAAGCAGCCACCAUUUAAAGAGUGCGUAAUAGCUCACUAGUCGAGUGACCCUGCGCCGAAAAUGUACCGGGGCUAAACAUAUUACCGAAGCUGUGGAGUACACCUUUAGGUGUAUUGGUAGGAGAGCGUUCUAAGGGCGUUGAAGGCAGAUCGUGAGGACUGCUGGAGCGCUUAGAAGUGAGAAUGCCGGUAUGAGUAGCGAAAGACAGGUGAGAAUCCUGUCCACCGAAUGACUAAGGUUUCCUGGGGAAGGCUCGUCCGCCCAGGGUUAGUCGGGACCUAAGCCGAGGCCGACAGGCGUAGGCGAUGGAUAACAGGUUGAUAUUCCUGUACCCGUUGUUUUUGUUUGAGCAAUGGAGGGACGCAGGAGGCUAAGGAAUGCAGACGAUCGGAAAUGUCUGUCCAAGCAGUAAGUCUGAAGAGGAGUCAAAUGCUUCUUUUCUUAAGGACAAGCUGUGAUGGGGAGGGAAAUAAUAGUACCGAAGUUCCUGAUGUCACACUGCCGAGAAAAGCUUCUAGUGAGAAAACAGCGGCCCGUACCGCAAACCGACACAGGUAGUCGAGGAGAGAAUCCUAAGGUGAGCGAGAGAACUCUCGUUAAGGAACUCGGCAAAAUGACCCCGUAACUUCGGGAGAAGGGGUGCUGAUCAUACGAUCAGCCGCAGUGAAUAGGCCCAAGCGACUGUUUAUCAAAAACACAGGUCUCUGCAAAAUCGUAAGAUGAAGUAUAGGGGCUGACGCCUGCCCGGUGCUGGAAGGUUAAGAGGAGUGCUUAGCGCAAGCGAAGGUACGAAUUGAAGCCCCAGUAAACGGCGGCCGUAACUAUAACGGUCCUAAGGUAGCGAAAUUCCUUGUCGGGUAAGUUCCGACCCGCACGAAAGGCGUAACGAUUUGGGCACUGUCUCAACGAGAGACUCGGUGAAAUUUUAGUACCUGUGAAGAUGCAGGUUACCCGCGACAGGACGGAAAGACCCCAUGGAGCUUUACUGUAGUUUGAUAUUGAGUGUCUGUACCGCAUGUACAGGAUAGGUAGGAGCCGUAGAAAUCGGAACGCUAGUUUCGAUGGAGGUGCUGGUGGGAUACUACCCCUGCGUUAUGGCCACUCUAACCCGCACCACUAAUCGUGGUGGGAGACAGUGUCAGAUGGGCAGUUUGACUGGGGCGGUCGCCUCCUAAAAGGUAACGGAGGCGCCCAAAGGUUCCCUCAGAAUGGUUGGAAAUCAUUCGAAGAGUGUAAAGGCAGAAGGGAGCUUGACUGCGAGACCAACAAGUCGAGCAGGGACGAAAGUCGGGCUUAGUGAUCCGGUGGUUCCGCAUGGAAGGGCCAUCGCUCAACGGAUAAAAGCUACCCUGGGGAUAACAGGCUUAUCUCCCCCAAGAGUCCACAUCGACGGGGAGGUUUGGCACCUCGAUGUCGGCUCGUCGCAUCCUGGGGCUGUAGUCGGUCCCAAGGGUUGGGC